rnacentral:rRNA from 1 species
CGGGACCGCACAAGCGGUGGAUGAUGUGGAUUAAUUCGAUGCAACGCGAAAACCUUACCUACCCUUGACAUGUCCGGAAUCCCGAAGAGAUUUGGGAGUGCUCGCAAGAGAACCGGAACACAGGUGCUGCAUGGCUGUCGUCAGCUCGUGUCGUGAGAUGUUGGGUUAAGUCCCGCAACGAGCGCAACCCUUGUCAUUAGUUGCCAUCAUUUGGUUGGGCACUCUAAUGAGACUGCCGGUGACAAACCGGAGGAAGGUGGGGAUGGCGUCAAGUCCUCAUGGCCCUUAUGGGUAGGGCUUCACACGUCAUACAAUGGUCGGUACAGAGGGUUGCCAACCCGCGAGGGGGAGCUAAUCCCACAAAGCCGACUCGUAGUCCGGAUCGCAGUCUGCAACUCGACUGCGUGAAGUCGGAAUCGCUAGUAAUCGUGGAUCAGCAUGUCACGGUGAAUACGUUCCCGGGUCUU